AGAGUUUGAUCCUGGCUCAGGACGAACGCUGGCGGCGUGCCUAAUACAUGCAAGUCGAGCGAGGGUCUUCGGACCCUAGCGGCGGACGGGUGAGUAACACGUAGGCAACCUGCCCAUAAGACUGGGAUAACAUAGGGAAACUUAUGCUAAUACCGGAUAGAGUCUACUCUCGCAUGAGAGAAGACGGAAAGGUGGCGCAA
rnacentral:rRNA from 1 species